UGGGGAAUAUUGCACAAUGGGGGAAACCCUGAUGCAGCAACGCCGCGUGCGGGAUGACGGCCUUCGGGUUGUAAACCGCUUUCAGCCAUGACGAAGCUUUUGUGACGGUAGUGGCAGAAGAAGCACCGGCUAACUACGUGCCAGCAGCCGCGGUGAUACGUAGGGUGCGAGCGUUGUCCGGAAUUAUUGGGCGUAAAGAGCUUGUAGGCGGUUUGUCACGUCGAAAGUGUAAACUCAGUGCUUAACGCUGAGCCUGCUUUCGAUACGGGCUGACUAGAGGAAGGUAGGGGAGAAUGGAAUUCCCGGUGGAGCGGUGGAAUGCGCAGAUAUCGGGAGGAACACCAGUGGCGAAGGCGGUUCUCUGGACCUUUCCUGACGCUGAGAAGCGAAAGCGUGGGUAGCAAACAGG
rnacentral:rRNA from 1 species